AUUUCCCGUUUUCCGUUUGAAGAAUCGGAGGGCACCUCGCCAGUAGACCAGACACGACCUCGAGUGCCUCUGACUAAAGACUAAACCUCGACGCUCUCUCAGCGUCCCUGCUUACUCAGGUACCGGUGACGGCUAUAAACCGUCGCGAAGCUUACAAAAUAAACGUUUCCACGAUUUCUUACUUUUGAAAGAAUCGAAUUGAAGAUCCUUGCUCCGUUAACCUGGCGACGCACAGUGGGACGUUUGCAUGGAAAAGCUGGUCAAAGAUAAAAAUCCAAAUUACGCCGAUGCAUAUUUGAGGAUCCUAGUUGAGUCAGAACGAUUCCCUGGUUGUUUGCCAGGGAAUUCCACGAUGAGGUAGCUGCAUGGAAUUCGCAAGAGUCGGGAAUGAAAACGAGCAUCCGUGAG